rfam:Camelus ferus unplaced genomic scaffold scaffold954, whole genome shotgun sequence.
GAGGGUGUAGCUCAGUGGUAGAGAAUGUGGUUAGCACACAUGAGGUGCUGGGUUCAAUCCCCAGGACCUCCA